CUCUAUGGCCAUACCACCCUGAACAUACCCAUCUCAUCUGAUCUCGGAAGCUAAGUAGGGUUGGGCAUGCCUAGUACUUGGAUGGGAAAACAAGAAAUUAUUUUUU
rnacentral:rRNA from 1 species